UACGUAGGGGGCAAGCGUUGUUCGGAGUUACUGGGCGUAAAGGGUGCGUAGGCGGCUUUUUAAGUUUGAUGUGAAAUCUCCCGGCUCAACUGGGAGGGUGCGCCGAAUACUGAGAAGCUAGAGUGUGGGAGAGGAAAGUGGAAUUCCUGGUGUAGCGGUGAAAUGCGUAGAUAUCAGGAGGAACACCGGUGGUGUAAACGGCUUUCUGGACCAUAACUGACGCUGAGGAGCGAAAGCGUGGGGAGCGAACAGG
rnacentral:rRNA from 1 species